rnacentral:rRNA from 1 species
UGGAUCCAGACUUUGAUUCUGGCUCAGGAUGAACGCUGGCGGCAUGCCUAAGACAUGCAAGUCGAACGAAAUGUACCAAUGAAGAUUGAGUGCUUGCACAAAGUUGGAUUUGGAUUUGCAUCUAGUGGCAGACGGGUGAGUAACACGUGGGUAACCUACCCUGAAGACUGGGAUAACAGUUAGAAAUGACUGCUAAUACCGGAUGAUUCAUGAGAAGAUAACUUUUCAUGCUAAAAGGAGCGUUUGCUUCACUUCAGGAUGGGCUUGCGGUGUAUUAGCUAGUUGGUGGGGUAAUGGCUCACCAAGGCAACGAUGCAUAUCCGAGCUGAGAGGCUGAUCGGACACACUGGGACUGAGACACGGCCCAGACUCCUACGGGAGACAGCAGUUAGGAAUAUUCGUCAAUGGAGGAAACUCUGAACGAGCAAUGCCGCGUGAGUGAUGAAGGUCUUUAUGAUUGUAAAACUCUGUUGUAAAGGAAGAACAACUAUCAUAGGAAAUGAUGAUAGUCUGACGGUACUUUGCCAGAAAGCCCCGGCUAACUACGUGCCAGCAGCCGCGGUAAUACGUAGGGGGCGAGCGUUAUCCGGAUUUAUUGGGCGUAAAGCGUGUGUAGGCGGUUUAUUAAGUCUAAGAUUAAAGCCUGGGGCUCAACCCCAGUUCGUCUUAGAAACUGGUAGACUUGAGUGUGGUAGAGGCAAGUGGAAUUUCUAGUGUAGCGGUUAAAUGCGUAGAUAUUAGAAGGAACACCAGUGGCGAAGGCGGCUUGCUGGGCCAUUACUGACGCUGAGACACGAAAGCGUGGGGAGCAAAUAGGAUUAGAUACCCUAGUAGUCCACGCCGUAAACGAUGAGUACUAAGUGUCGGGUAACCGGUGCUGAAGCUAACGUAUUAAGUACUCCGCCUGAGUAGUACGGUCGCAAGGCUGCAACUCAAAUGAAUUGACGGA